AGGGAAUCUUCGGCAAUGGACGAAAGUCUGACCGAGCAACGCCGCGUGAGUGAAGAAGGUUUUCGGAUCGUAAAACUCUGUUGGUAGAGAAGAACGUUGGUGAGAGUGGAAAGCUCAUCAAGUGACGGUAACUACCCAGAAAGGGACGGCUAACUACGUGCCAGCAGCCGCGGUAAUACGUAGGUCCCGAGCGUUGUCCGGAUUUAUUGGGCGUAAAGCGAGCGCAGGUGGUUUAUUAAGUCUGGUGUAAAAGGCAGUGGCUCAACCAUUGUAUGCAUUGGAAACUGGUAGACUUGAGUGCAGGAGAGGAGAGUGGAAUUCCAUGUGUAGCGGUGAAAUGCGUAGAUAUAUGGAGGAACACCGGUGGCGAAAGCGGCUCUCUGGCCUGUAACUGACACUGAGGCUCGAAAGCGUGGGGAGCAAACAGGAUUAGAUAGCCCUGGUAGUCCA
rnacentral:rRNA from 1 species